rnacentral:rRNA from 2 species
CGGAGGAAAAGAAACUAACUAGGAUUCCCCCAGUAGCGGCGAGCGAAGCGGGAAGAGCCCAAGAUGAAAAGCCUGCUUGCAGGCGUUGUAUUUGAUUGCUUUCGGGGUGUCAGUGUGGGCAAGUUCGCAUGAAAAUGCACGCCGUGGAGGGUGAUAGCCCCGUCCAACCUACACAGGACACGCCGUACGAAAGUGAUUCUGACGAGUCGGGUAGCUUGGGAAUGCUGCUCUAAUUGGUGGUAAAUCUCAUCAAAGGCUAAAUAGCGGCUGGAGACCGAUAGCGAACAAGUACCGUGAGGGAAAGAUGAAAAGCACUUUGAAAAGAGGGUGAAAAGAACCUGAAACCGUCACGGGGGAAGCGGAUUGCGUUGGCCUGGUGGGCGCUUGUGUGUUCAGCCUUUUUGGGUGCAUUGACACAGGUGCUUAUCCGUCGUGGGUUUUCGGGGGCCGAUAUUGGGUCCCCGGAGGCUGAGGGCUCCCUUCGGGUGAGGACGACGGAGUGACGACGCGAUACGACCCGUCUUGAAACACGGACCAAGGAGUCUAGCGCGGGUGCGAGUCGGAGGGUGCAAGCCCGUGGGCGAAGUGAAAGCGAGUUUUAAAAACGAGCAGUUUGGGGCGGCAUAAGAUCGUUGAUCUUAAGACCGACCCAGAGCAGUUGCGCUGGGACCCGAAAGAUGGUGAACUAUGCCGGAGUAGGGCAAAGCCAGAGGAAACUCUGGUGGAGGCUCGUAGCGGUGCUGACGUGCAAAUCGCUCGUCCAACUUGGGUAUAGGGGCGAAAGACUAAUCGAACCAUCUAGUAGCUGGUUCCCUCCGAAGUUUCUCUCAGGAUAGCGGGCCGACAAGUUGUUUUGUGCGGUAAAGCGAAUGAUUAGCGUAUUUGGGGCACCUAGUGCUUCGGGCGAUUCUCAAACUUUAAAUGCGCAAGGGUGUCGCUGCUUUGUUGAGCGGCACCGGUAAAAACGUCGGCCCUGUGGGCCACUUUUGGUAAGCAGAACUGGCGAUACGGGAUGAACCGUAAGCAUGGUUAAGGCGCCAGACUGCCCGCUUAUAGAUCCCACAAAAGGUGUUGAUUCAUCGAGACAGCAGGACGGUGGCCAUGGAAGUCGGAAUCCGCCAAGGAGUGUGUAACAACUCACCUGCCGAAUGAAUUAGCCCUGAAAAUGGAUGGCGCUGAAGCGGGCGGCCGACACCAUGCCGUCUGGAUAAGAAUUUCAGAUGAGUAGGAGGGCGUGGGGGCCGUGGCGAAGCAUGCGUGCAGACGCGUGUGGAACGGCCUCUAGUGCAGAUCUUGGUGGUAGUAGCAAGUAUUCAAGCGAGAUCCUUGAAGGGCGAAGCGGGGAAGGGUUCCACGCGAACAUUGAUUGGGCGUGGGUGAGUCGUUCCUAAGCCGAGUGGCGAUUGCUAAGUAGCGGCGAAAGGGAAGCGGGUUGACAUUCCCGCACACGGAUGUGGAGGCGGCGACGCAUUAUUGGGGCGAACACGCUGGCGACGGCGCUGGGCAGAGUUGUCUUUUCUGUUUGACCGUUUGUGCGCGCGGUGUGGAAUCCGCUUGUCGGGAGAAACACGCGUGUACGGGCAGAGCGCCGGGGCUUUUCCGGCGUCCAGCUCGCCGUCGACGGCCCUUGAAAAUUUGCCUGCUGAUAUAGAUCCACGCCGUGG